rnacentral:lncRNA from 1 species
AAUAAAACAUUACUGAUGUAACUGGAACCCCCUAUUGGUAUCCCCGCUCCGUCCUUCCUGGGGUGAUCACUGUACUGCAUUUAAGGGGUCUGAUUUCUCUGUGUGUUUUCAUAUAUUUACUCCAUAUGUAUGCAUGUACUCAUAGUAUUUCAGUAAAGGAAUAUAUCAGAAUCUAUUUGUCUCCUGUUGAUGAACAUUUAGGAUUUUUCUUUGAGCACGUAUGUAAGAGUUUCUCUGUAGUGUGCACUUUAGAAGUAGGAUUUCCUGGCUGGAGAGUAUGUGCAUCUUGCCUUUAUUAUAUAUUGUUAAAUUGCUCU